ACUUUGAAACACUGGUUACCAUAAAAUCCCUAAAGUUAAGCAACGUCGAGCCUGGUCAGUACCGAAAUAGGUGACCCGUUGGGAAUACCACGUGCUGUAAG